UCUAUUAUGCUAGCAACAUAUAAAGAAACAAGUAGAAAAGUUCAACAAAAAGAGAAAAAAACGGGAACAGUAACCCUUCGUUGCCUUUGAGUUCUCUCCAUCUCAAUCCAAAGCUCUCACUCAAUCGCUCUCUCAUGUAUCCAAAACCUCUCUCUCUCUCAAAAUUGCUCACCAGCGAACCCUCUCUCACUCGAACUCAAAGAAAACUCCCUCUGCUCUCGCGUCCCCAACCUUCGCUCAUCUUUCACAAUCCCUCACACAAUCGCCCAAAACCCUCUCACUCGCGCUCUCUCUAUCUCGACUCAACGUAUCUCUCUCGCCCUCAACCCCAUUCCCAAAUGCAUAAAACCCACAGCUUAAAGGAACCUGAAGUUUACCUCCGAUAGCGAUUUGGUAGUGACGAUGAACGAUGAAGCCAAAACUUCACUCUUUCGCCUCUCCGAUCCGGGGUUUAGGGUUGUUGUAUGGAAUUCCCAAAGAAUAUCUUCUGCAAACUGCCUUUGAUACGCUCAGUUGGGAUUGGCCUUUUUGAUGCUUGAUUCGGAACCGUGAAAAAUUAGAAGGAAAUUACAACUUCAGUUAUCACAAGGAUUCUUCAUCGUGAUUUUGGGUUGAGUGAACUAAAACAAAGUCUUUGAUCUCCCUGACCGGGUAACUUUGGGCUGUGCAAAUCAUUUCCACCAAGAAUGGAAUUUUCUCUCACGAUUUGAUUGUUGUUUUGCUGCAGGAUUUGUGUGAAGGUAAUCUGAGAUAUCGGAUAGGUAAGGCUGGAUAAUCCGCUGAGUGUCACGUUUUGCAUUGCUUUUGUUACAAACAGACUUAUCCGAAUUGGGAUUAGGAAGUAAAGGAAUUGUUGAAGUUAAUGCUGAUUUGCUGAGGUUCUUGAAUUGGCUGGAAAUGCUGCAAGGGACAACAGGAAGACUGAAAGACUUCCACGCAUUCUUGAAGUAGGACGCCGAUUCUGAUCUGGUUGUGAAUUGAAUAAUUCGUCAGUCCUAGAAACUGCCUGUACCGGUGGUCCUCUUUGCUCUCCUUGUCUGGCAACGUGUGAUGAAGCCAUAACCUUUGCUUGUUGGCUAUUUGCUGUUUAAUGCAGAUGCGAUUUUUUGCACCAGCUGGAUGAAUCAAAAUCAAGGGCCAUCAGUUCAUGCUUUUGGGUGAUGAGGUUGCAUUGGCCUUCUUCUAUUUAAUGUUGAGUUUUCUCCUGUGUAAGGACUGAUGCACCUUUGGAUAACAUGUACUAAAAACUCUUAGUCGCAUGAAUUGGUUUCCGUUUGUUAUGCAAGUUGCAUCUGAUCUCGCUUAAGAGCUUGUUGGAGUUGGACGACCUGUUGUUGAGAUUGCAUCUGAAGCUUAUGUCUCAAAAGCUGUUGGUUGUACAGAUACUGUCUUUUUGGAUUUCAACGAGUUUUGGCAAAUACCGGUUCUUGGAGCAGGCCCUUCCAAUCUGGUCAUGAACUGACUGAUGUUGUAUGGGCUGCAGAAUGUUGUGAUUUUGCACAUCUAAGCAUUGGUUUCCAGCAGGUACAAUUUGCAACAUGGUUGAGGUUUGCCUUCUGACUUGAUGUGGUGCAGCAGGGUUCCUGGCAUGGUUCAAUGGAGUGUUUUGCGCUAGUAUUGGCAUCUGGGGCGCAGAUACUGAGGGAUCUAGGUGUUCAAUCUAUGAAGUUGAUGACUAACAAUCCUUCCAAAUAUAUUGGUCUCAUAGAUUAUGGUUUAACUGUUUCUGGUAGGAUCCCAUGCUAUGAUUCAUCGCAGCAGCAGCGAGAGCAGAAACUUCCUCUGCAUUUAUCCUUGCCUCCUCAGUUUUUUUUUGUAAGAGACUCGUCUGACAUAAUCCUCUUUUCAACAUUCCAGCCACUUUUGAGGCGAUCAAGAAGAGAUAGAGGAGAUACAGACUCAACUGAUUUCAACAGUAGUUACUGGCACAUUCACAACAGGGGUUGCAGCGGCGUUAGCAGGAGAUAUAUGGUUGCUGACAACAGGAGUUGAUACCAGAUGGGACUGCAUACCAGGUCCUGGAUCGGGAGGUUUAUUGCUUUACGGAACUGAACCAUGUUUGAUGGCUGGCUGCAUCUGAGAGGCUUUGGCUAGGUUGGUAAUGCUGCAGUUAUGUAUUACUGGAAAUGUAUGGUUAGUGAAAUUGGUGUAUGUUGGCAUUGUAUUGGGAUAAUGUUUGUAAUGUUGCAGGGUUGUUUUGAGAUGCAUGCCAGGCUGUUAUGGUUUUUGUCAUCAAGAGGAAUGGACUUGAGCCAAACAGGGAAACCUCCAAAGUUCCAUUCAGCACAAGCAUAAGGACCAAUUCUGAGGUGAACAUAAAGACCUGCUUGCUGCACCAGCUUUAUGAACUUUACCAAAUCAUGGUUCCCCUCAAAAUAAUAUUUGCCAGGUGAAGGUUCAUGCCCAUUCCAAAAAACAUAAGUUUGAAUCACAUCCAAUCCUCCUUCUUUAGCCUUUUGGAUAAGAUCUGUGUCGCAUCUCAGGAGUACUUCUGGGGUAAUGAAUGGAGCCAGAAAGUAGUAUCCUUCUUUGUCCAUUAAUGGUGAUAGCUUUAUAAUCAUAUGAAACAGAAACUUCAUGUUGAGCAAUAAGUGAAGUAGCAAGUAUCACAAACAGCAACACAUUGAGCUUGAAGCCCAUAAUGAAUAACGAACCUUGAAUAUGUUAUGUUUUAUUUUCCAACACUUUAUUCUAAGCUUCAAUGUAGAGAGAGAGAGAAAGAGAGAGAAAGUGGUUAUUUUUGUGUUUUUUUUUUUACCACAUGUAACAAUACCUUUGGUGUAAUUUGGAUAUGGACAUGGGUUUAUUUUAGGGUUCUCGGAUUUAGGUUGACUUUGGUCAAAGUUGACCAAAAAGUCAAUUGUUGACCAAAGUCAACAAUUGGCCAAAAGUGUCAAUUUUUUUUGUAUUUUUCUUGUAUGAAAUCAUAUGUACUGGUUUAAACAUGGAUGAAAUCGAUUGAAAUGGAUUAACAAAUGGUUUGAAGUUGGUUUCCAACUUGUUUUGCCUUAUGACUUGAAUAUUUGACUUUGAAAAGAACAUGACUGAUAAUGCACAUGACCAAGGCCACGAACUGA